rnacentral:tRNA from 1 species
UACCUUGUAGUAUAUACCAACAAUAUUACUGUAAACUGCAACUUUACAUAAGCAAUCAGCCAAGGUAU